CUCAGAAACCGAGGAACCUCCUCUGAGGUCCGAGCGAGGCCCGAGGUUUUUACUUAUCUAAUAUUAACCCUUAUUUCUUUAACAGCAGCAGAAUGCUAGAGCGAAGUACUAAACAAACGAGUACUAUUGCUCCUGAGAAGGCCGGUAAAGCCGCCCGCCGCGCCGGGGGAGCGCCAGGCUCUCCCAGAGCCUUACCUCCUCCUCCCGGCGCCGCCUCAGCGCUUCCCGCCUCCGCCGCUGAGGGGCCGCCCACCCUCGCGCUCAGGCACACCCGGAUCGGCGCGUGCCCCCGAGGUUGAACCCGAUUGGGCGAGGCGCGGAAGGGCGGGGCGGUCGCUAUAUAAAGCGGAGCGAGAGGGUGGCUCUUCCUUUCUGCGGGCGCUGCGGUGCGAGGGUCCGUGUGGCGAGCGGCGGCGAGCGGCCCGGUAAAUAAAGUUGUGUGCACCCCACGAACGUGUCCGGCUGGUUCUUGCGCCCGUUCCCCCGCACUGCCUUUGACCCGGCGGGGUGCCCUGCCUGCGGCACCGCCGGCCAAGCUGUAGUGCUAGAGCGAAGCGCUUGUUCAUAACUGGGGCUGCUCGGCCCGACCCGGGUGGCGCUUUUAAAAGCAAGUGACAGCU